UGCUCUCACACUGAACAGCUGCAUCAGGAUGAUGUUUCCAGUAACUCUGAUUGUCAUGUUGGGUUUUCUGAGUCACGAGACGUCUGCCAACGAUUUUCUGACUCAGACUGACAAAUCCAAGUCUGUCAGUGUCGGUGGGACUGUGACCAUCAGCGCCACAGGGAGUUCAAAUAUUGGUGCUGAUCUCAGUUGGUACCUUCAGAAACCUGGACAACCUCCUAAACUUCUGAUAUACACAUCAUCAAGCCUCUUCUCAGGAACUCCAUCUAGAUUCAGCGGCAGUAGAUCUGGUUCUCAAUACUCUUUAACCAUCAGUGGCUUUCAGGCCGAAGACGUUGGAGAUUAUUACUGUCUCGGCUACCAUGGUAGCUCAGGGUUCACUUUUGGUGGAGGAACCAAACUCAUCAUUCACUCUGGUCCCAUGGUCAGGCCCUCAGUCUCUCUGCUCCCUCCCUCCUCUGAGCAGCUCUCCGGAGGCUCGGCCACGCUGGCCUGCCUGCUGAGCGGCUACUCUCCUCAGGGAGCCGUGGUGAGCUGGGAGGUGGACGGGACGGAGGUGACAGAGGGGGUCCUGAGCAGCUCCGAGGAGGAGAAGAGCGGACGCUACAGCAGCAGCAGCACCCUGAGUCUGAGCCGGGAGCGCUGGAUGGAAGGAGAGCAGUACUCCUGCCGUGUCCUCCAUCAUGACCACAGGCAGAGCCGCUCCCUCCACAGGAGCCAGUGUCAGGACUAGAGGGAGCAGCCGAAGCCCAGGACAGGAGCUCUGUGUGGGGGGAGCAGGAGGAGCACAGCUGCUGCUCUGAUCACUGUCACUGUCAAUGUUUGUAGAGGAAGCUCAAGCUUUGUGUGACAGACAGCAACACUGCUGUAAAGUGUUGGACAGCAGAAAUUUAGAGAAUAAUGUGUGCAGCUGAGCAGCUUUAUGUGACUUUGCUUCAUAACUGUCAUGUUGAUGUUUCUGGCUAAUAAAGUUUGCAUGAAGAAAU